GAAACUUAAAGGAAGUUGACGGGGCCCGCACAAGCGGUGGAGCAUGUGGUUAAUUCGAAGCAACGCGAAGAACCUUACCAGGCCUUGACAUGCAGAGAACUUUCCAGAGAUGGAUUGGUGCCUUCGGGAACUCUGACACAGGUGCUGCAUGGCUGUCGUCAGCUCGUGUCGCGAGAUGUUGGGUUAAGUCCCGUAACGAGCGCAACCCUUGUCCUUAGUUACCAGCACGUUAUGGUGGGCACUCUAAGGAGACUGCCGGUGACAAACCGGAGGAAGGUGGGGAUGACGUCAAGUCAUCAUGGCCCUUACGGCCUGGGCUACACACGUGCUACAAUAGUCGGUACAAAGGGUUGCCAAGCCGCGAGGUGGAGCUAAUCCCAUAAAACCGAUCGUAGUCCGGAUCGCAGUCUGCAACUCGACUGCGUGAAGUCGGAAUCGCUAGUAAUCGUGAAUCAGAAUGUCACGGUGAAUACGUUCCCGGGCCUU
rnacentral:rRNA from 1 species